rnacentral:rRNA from 1 species
AGGGCAACAGCCCAGAUCGUCAGCUAAGGUCCCUAAAUGUAAGUUAAGUGGUAAAGGAUGUGGGAUUGCACAGACAACCAGGAUGUUGGCUUAGAAGCAGCCACUCAUUCAAAGAGUGCGUAAUAGCUCACUGGUCGAGUGAUCCUGCGCCGAAGAUUUCCGGGGCUAAAACUUACUACCGAAGCUACGGCAUCAGUAAUGAUGGGUAGGGGAGCUUCCCAUACGGGUUGAAGCAUGACCGUAAGGACAUGUGGACAGUAUGGGAGUGAGAAUGUUGGCAUGAGUAGCGAGAUGUGGGUGAGAAUCCCACAGGCCGUAAACCCAAGGUUUCCAGGGGAAGGUUCGUCCGCCCUGGGUUAGUCGGGACCUAAGCUGAGGCCGAAAGGCGUAGGUGAUGGACAACAGGUUGAUAUUCCUGUACUACCGAUAACCGUUUGAGAGAAGGGAUGACACAGUAGGAUAAGCUAAGCACACUGUUGGUUAUGUGUGCCCAAGCAUUGAGGCAGUCAAAGUAGGCAAAUCCGCUUUGAUAAUGCUGGGAUGUGAUGGGGAGCGAAAUUUAGUAGCGAAGUAGCUGAUUUCACACUGUCAAGAAAAGUCUCUAUCGAGGUUAAAGGUACCCGUACCGCAAACCGACACAGGUGGGUGAGGAGAGUAUCCUAAGGCCAGCGAGAGAACUGUUGUUAAGGAACUCGGCAAAAUGACCCCGUAACUUAGGGAUAAGGGG